CAGGAUGUGGGAAAGUCUGGUAUUCCGCGUGCUUCGGGAGCACGAGAGCGCUGGUUCAAAUCCAGUCAUCCUGA
rnacentral:tRNA from 1 species